UUAUAGUGAAAGACUGUCAUUAGUGAUACAUGUCAGUGUUGGUGCUAGGAAAGAGGAAAGAGCCACCACCUAAACUAAAGUCUUAACAAAAGCUGCUCCGCUUUGUUCUGCCUCUGCCUCUGCCUCUGUCAGUACAUCUCUGCAGCAUUCAGCAUUGUCCCACACACAAAACCAUCUGAUUGGUUGUACACAGAGCAGUUGCAGCCAAUCAGCAGUGCGUAUUCAGAGCGCAUGUAACGACGGUGGAGAUUGCCGAAUGCCAGACGGUGGUGACGUUCUGUGGCGUGUACGUUUUGCAUCCUGUGGAAAUCAGAGCUAACGAAAAAACUCUGAUAAUUGCUCCCGAUAAAAAGAUCCCCCCGAUCAAGAAGUCCCUGGUGGCUCUGGGUGCAUCUGUUAUAAGCAGCCUCAGAAACCUCAGGGUUGUGUUGGAUCAGUCCAAGUCUUUGGGGGGUCUCUGUCGUCAACUGACCAAAAACUAUUUUUUAUCGCCUCAGAAAUAAUUCUAAAGAGACUUCAGACGCUACAAAAUGCAGCUGUCAGGCUUUAGACCGGUCCACCCAGAACAGUCCAUAUCAUAAUUGAUCCAGUCUCCAUUGGUUUCCAGUCAAAUUCCCGCGUUGAGUUUAAGAUUUUAGUCCUGACUUUCCGUGCGUUGCAUGGUGGGGCCCCCUCACUACUCACUGACCUAUUAUGUCCCUACUCUUCAGUUGCAUGGUGAGGCCCCUCACUACUCACUGACUUAUUAUGUCCGUACUCUUCAGUUGCAUGGUGGGACCCCUCACUACAUCACUGACUUAUUAUGCACCUAUUCUUCAGUUGCACUGUGGGGCCCCUCACUACAUCACUGACUUAUUAUGUCCCUACUCUUCAGGGCUUUCAGGCCAGGGUCUUCUAAAGAUCCCAAAAACUCAUUUUAAAACCUGUGGAGACCUGGAAUUCCAGUCUAGAUCUCCAAGACUCUGGAACAACUUGCACCAGUCCUUCCGUGAUCUUUGAAAACUUCUCUUAUUAGGAAAGCUUUUAGUUCAUGCACCUUUUAACCAUCAAUUUUAAUCCACUUUGUAUCCUUUUCAUGAUGUUGCACCUGUUGUUUUCAUUUACUUCACCUGCGCUUUGUGAUCUUAUCUGUGAAAAGCGCUUUAAAAAUAAAAUGUCAUCAUCAUCAUAGCAGUCUGUCGAGCGCGACAAUGACUGUUUCAUUUAGGUCGGAUCAUAGACCUCCACUCAGCCCUGUCUUUUUCUUUCAGCUGCAAGGUUGCAGUGUCGAUCUUCAGUUCCCUCAAAUUCCGUUUAACGGUGUCCUUGUACCUUAGCCUUGACCUCCCUCUGAAAAGACGAGAUGGCGCCCAAGGAACUUAAAAAAGCGAUCGAUACUCUGAUCGAGGAAGUUGCUACAAUCAAGGAGCAGCAGAAAACAAUCAUGGCCCUUGUUGUGCAGCUGGAUCAGAUAAGAGCUGACAAUUCGGAGAAAGACAAGAAAAUUGCAAUUCUGGAGAACAGAGUUGCUGAUUUUGAGCAGUGUACACGGAUCAAUGACGUGAUCAUCACCGGACUUAGCAUCAAACCCCGGUCUUACGCACGAGCUGUAACCCCAGCAAAUGGAGGGGAGCCGGCGGAGUUGGAUGUCAUUUCAAUUGAGCGACAGGUAGCGGUCUUCAUGCAGUCCAAGGAUAUACAACUGGACUGUAACAGCAUCGAAGCAUGUCACCUUUUGCCCAGGAGAGGGACAAACGACAAGCCGAGCGUUAUCCUGAGGUUUGUAAACAGGAAGCACAAGAUCGCGUUGCUAAAACAGGGAAGGAAGCUAAAAGGAACAAACGUUUACAUGAACGACCAUUUGACCAAACGAAGUGCUGAUAUAGCUCGAAAAGCACGCCAAAUGAGGAGAGAGAAGAACAUUCUACAAACUUGGACAGGGAACUGUAAAGUAAUCAUCAAACUCAACGGUACUCCGGAGAACGCCAAAGUGCUGGUGAUUAGAAACAUGGAAGAUCUGAACGAAUAUGACGUUUGAACUGGACUGUAAGGAAAAAGCAACUAAACACAAUCAUGACACACAUUGACAAUACGCAAGAUGCAACCCAUGACACGAGCCACAUCAUUCAGUUGAUAAAUGAAUAUGACAAUGUACAGUUGAAAGCAUCCCAAUACACUGAGCACCACCUACAAGACAUGGAACAGGAUGUAGACCCGGACAAUAAUUUCCUCCUCAAUAUCAAUGAGAACUGCUGCUACUAUACCAAUGAACAGUACAACCAGAAUAUUAUUACUAAAGGCAAAUUAUCAAUUAUCCAUUUUAAUAGUAGAAGCUUAAAUAGGAAUUUCAAGGACAUCGAGGACUAUUUACACACAUUUUCACAACCAUUUAACAUAAUUGCAGUAUCUGAAACUUGGAUUAACAGUGAAAACGUGUCAGAUUUUGAACUGGAUGGUUAUGACUUUAUUAAUAUAAAUAGACAAAACAAGGGGGGUGGAGGGGUGGCAAUCUAUGUGGAUAGCACCUUGAGAUUCAAACGUCUGGAUGAUAUGACAACUGUGGUUGAUAACCUACUUGAAUGUCUAACGGUUGAAAUUUGUAUGGAAAAAAGUAGAAAUUUCAUUAUUAGUUGUAUAUACAGAUCACCAGGUGCAAGCAUUGCACAUUUUACAGACUGGAUGGAAUGCCUGUUUUCAAAAAAGAGUAAUGUUAAUAAAGCUGUCUUCAUUUGUGGAGACUUUAAUAUCGACCUUUUAAAUCCCAGUAAAAAUAACGAUAUAGUUAAUUUCAUUGACACAAUGUACAGUAUAAGUUUAUAUCCCAAAAUCACCAGACCUAGUCGAAUUUCAUCCCACUCUGCCGCUCUAAUCGACAACAUAUUUACCAACGAUAUUGAAAAUAAGACCGCAAGUGGGCUAUUGAUCAAAGAUAUCACUGACCACCUCCCAGUUUUUCUGAUAUUUGAUGGUAACUACAGGACAAAAAAAUUAGAAAAGUCAACCCAAUACAGAAGAACGAGAUCAGAGGAAUCCAUUAGUUCAUUUAAACAUCAUUUACUGGAGCAGAAUUGGGAUGUAAUUUAUGAAAAUGGUGAUGUUACUAGUGCUUACAAUAUAUUUUUGAGAAUAUUUAGGUCAGUAUAUGAUAAAAAUUGCCCAAUAAAAGAAUGCAUCAGCAAAGGAAAGUAUACGAAUUGUCCUUGGAUCACAAAGGGAUUGCAAAAUGCUUGUAAAAAGAAAAACACUCUUUACAGGGAAUUUAUAAGAUUGAAAACAAAAGAAGCAGAAAAUAAAUAUAAAACAUAUAAAAACAAGUUAACUAAUAUUAUGAGGUCAAAUAAGAGGGAUUAUUAUAAGAAAUUACUAGAUGAUAAUAAAAAUAAUAUCAAAGGAAUAUGGAAUUUAUUAAACAGUAUUAUAAGAAACAGUACCUCUUCAAAUAACUAUCCAACGUAUUUCAUGAAUGAUGGUAAAGAAAAUGAUAAUAUUGAAGAUGUAGCUAAUGCCUUCAAUAAAUUCUUUGUAAGUAUUGGACCCGAACUUGCAGCAAAAAUCCCAGAUCCACGGACAACUGGUAAAAAUAUGGAGGGAUUGUUGGAGAUAAAUCUCAAUUCUAUGUUUUUAAAUGCAGUGGGUGAAGAAGAAGUGUUGGAUAUUGUAAACAAAUGUAAGAACAAAAUGUCCACAGACUGCAAUGACAUUAGUAUGGCAUUGGUGAAAAAUGUCAUUACAGGAAUAUCAAAACCAUUAACAUAUAUCUGUAAUCUGUAAUUUCAAACCGGCACAUUUCCGAAUGAAAUGAAAAUAGCUAAAGUUAUACCUCUGUUAAAAACUGGGAGCAAACAUCACUUCACAAACUAUAGACCCGUCUCUUUACUUCCACAAUUCUCUAAAAUAUUAGAAAAACUAUUCAAUAACAGGUUAGAUGCAUUUAUAGAAAAACAUAAUUUACUCCCUGACUGUCAAUAUGGGUUUAGAUCAAACAGAUCUACAUCAAUGGCAAUCAUUGAAACAAUAGAGGAAAUCACAAAUGCCAUAGACAAGAAACAAUAUGCAAUGGGAAUAUUUAUUGAUCUAAAAAAAGCAUUUGACACAAUUAUCCAUGAUAUAUUAAUCAAUAAAAUGGAAAAGUAUGGAAUCAGGGGAGUUGUACUAGACUGGCUUAAAAGUUACUUAAAUAAGAGACAACAGUUUGUGAAGUUGGGGAAUUGCUGUUCAUCGUGUUUGGACGUUGCUUGUGGUGUCCCCCAGGGGUCAGUGUUGGGGCCAAAAUUGUUCAUCCUGUAUAUCAAUGAUAUCUGUAAAGUGUCUACAUUAUUGAAAUUAGUGUUAUUUGCUGAUGACACUAAUAUUUUUUGUUCAGGGGAUGAUUUAAAUCAAUUACAGGAAGUCAUUAUGGAAGAAAUGAGUAAACUAAAAGCUUGGUUUGACUAUAAUAAAUUGUCAUUAAACCUGACUAAGACUAAGUUAAUGCUGUUUGGAAAGAGGACACGUGAAACAAGGGUACAGAUACAAAUAGAUGGGGUGGAUAUUGAAAGGGUUUUUGAAAUAAAAUUCCUUGGAGUUACAAUUGACUAUCAAAUUAACUGGAAACCACAUAUAAAACAUGUACAGUCUAAGCUGUCAAGAAGCAUCUCAGUAAUAAAUAAAGCAAAGCAGGUUCUUGAUCACAAAUCACUCCACAUUCUCUACUGUUCAUUAGUUUUACCAUAUUUAACCUACUGUGUGGAAGUCUGGGGGAAUAAUUAUAAAAGCUCAUUAAACUCAAUAACUAUACUUCAGAAAAGAGCUGUACGUAUCAUCAACAAUGUGGGAUAUCUGGACCAUACUCAUUCACUAUUCUUACAGUCAAAAAUAUUGGAAUUUAAUGAUAUUAUUUUGUAUCAAACUGCACAAAUAAUGUAUAAAGCCAAAAUAAAUAAACUCCCAGGAAGCAUUCAAAAAUUGUUCAGCACACGAGAGGGGGAUUAUAAUUUAAGGGGAAAUUUUAAUUUCAAAAUGCUUAGUUGUAGAACGACCAUCAAAAGUUUUUGUAUUUCAGUCUGUGGAGUGAAACUAUGGAAUGGUUUGAAUGUGGAGUUAAAGCAAUGUCCAAACAUAAACCAGUUUAAAAAGAAGUUUAGGUACAUGGUAUUCCAGAGGUACAGAGAUGAAGAAGGGCUUUGAUAUUGGGUUUCUUGUGUCACAAAAGAGUUAGGGGCUGCCCAUUGAGGCACUGAUACUGCUCUUUUUUUUUGUUUUUUUUCAUGAUACUAUUUCCAUGAGCACUUGUGGUAACGGUGUGGCUAAUGUGUGUAGUGUGCAUAUGUAUGUAUAUAUUUAUCAUUUAUUUAUAUACAAGCUCAUUAAGUUUGUACAUAGAGUGAACAAGGAAGUUCGAGCUCAGAGUAAUUUAUGAUUUAAAGAAAAGGGGUGGGAUUAAAUAAGUGUAUACUUCUUCUCACUCCUUUUCAAAUAUGUAAAAAAAACAACUUCUCACUCCUUUUCAAAUAUGUUAAAAAAAAAAAAAAAAAAAAAAGUCGAAUGCUCAUUUGUUUCGUUUCCCUUCCUCCAACUGUGAGUAGAACAGAUGGCGAGGGAGCCGCUCAUUCUCUCUACCUGCCUGACCCAUCUCAGGUUUGUUUGGGUUAAGAUGUCAUCCAUCGAUAGCAGUCCAGCACGUUUUAGGACCUCUGUGUUCGGGAUUUUGUCUGUCCAGGAUAUAUCCAUGAUGGUCCGAAGGUGGUGCAUCAUGUAGGGGCUGGGUUCCGGUGGAGGACGACAACAAGCAGUACUGCUGGCACUCCUCUGUGGUGGACUCCAGCGUUGGGUCAGCUCUGGUCCUCAGACCCGUCCUCAACAACGAAGACACAUUGGAAAUCGUUGCACUCCCAUUGG